UCUUAGGUUGCUUCCAUUGUAAGACUUUGUCUAUAUUUUCUUGACAAGGCGUAAAUCCUUUUUCCGAAAUGUGAUACCCUAUAAAUUUUACUUGUGAUUGGUGAAAUUCACAUUUUGCUUGAUUGAUAAUUAAGUUCGCAUUUUUCAAUUUCUGUAGAACGUCUUUAACAUGUUUUACAUGUUCAGAUUCCGAUUUUGAAUG
rnacentral:lncRNA from 1 species